rnacentral:lncRNA from 1 species
AGACACCAGAUCUUACUCUCUCUUUAUUAGUUCUGACAAAGGGAAAAGUCCAUGUGAGAACACCACAGCAAGAAGUCAACAAGCCACAAGCUAGGAAGAGUUCCCUGACCAGGAACAGAAUCAGCGGCAUCUUGAUUGGGAUGCCUAUCCUUCAGAACAACCUCUCACAAAUCACCUUCACAUGCAGGAUUUCAACUAAGCUUGUCAGAAAUUUUCCAAGAAACUUGAGGUUCAAAAUAGUGGAGGCUCCCACCUCCACUGUCCCACCCACUUUAUUGCACAGAUGUUUGUCAAAUCUACGCAGUUGUGGACAAGAUUCCUUCUGAUAAUCCUGCUACUCAGACUAUUGAACAGUCUCCUGAAGGAGCUGAAAUUUAUAAAUUAUUCAUUGGCGCUUGAUAGAAAACUCAGAGACGGUCCAUUGGAGAGCAAAAGACAAUCACAGUUCAGCUGCUUCAUGUGCUUACAGAAAAGGCUAAAGUGCAAUGAAUGACGUGAUCACGGCUCACUGCAUCCUCUAUAUCCCAACUCAAGCAGUCCUCCCACAUCUGCCUCUGGAGUAGCUGGGACCACAGGUAACCUCACCAUGCCCAACUAACUUUUUCACUUUUUGUAGCAACAGGGUCUCACUAUGUUGCCCAGGCUGAUCUUGAACUCCUGGGCUCAAGGCAUCCUCCAACCUUAGCCUCCCAAAGUGCUGAGAUUACAAGUGUAAGACACCAUGCUGAGCCAAAAGCCACACUUCUAAAAUUAAAAAGUAGAUAAAAUUUAAAAUAUUAGAAAUGGAAUUUAAUAUAAAAUGAAUAUAAUUUAAAACCUAGUGUAUGAGUGAGAGAUUCAACACAGCUGAAGAAAGAUCUAGAAAAUGGAUCUC